rnacentral:hammerhead_ribozyme from 1 species
ACCCAGCUGACGAGUCUCAAAUAGGACGAGACGAGCCCCCUGGAU